rnacentral:rRNA from 1 species
GGGAUGACGUCAAGUCCUCAUGGCCCUUACGUCCAGGGCUACACACGUGAUACAAUGGCGACUACAAAGGGCAAAGCCGCGAGGUGGAGGAAAUCCCUUAAAAGUCGUCCUAGUCCGGAUCGGAGUCUGCAACUCGACUCCGCGAAGCUGGAAUCGCUAGUAAUCGUAGAUCAGCAUGCUACGGUGAAUAUGUUCCCGGGCCUUGUACACACCGCCCGUCAAGUCAUGGAAGUCGGGAGUACCCGAAGACGCGUAUGCGUUUAAGGUAAGACCGGUAACUGGGACUAAGUCGUAACAAGGUAAAUC